UACCAGCACCCCGAGUGGUCGGGACGGUUAUUGGGCCUAAAGCAUCCGUAGCCGGUUUUACAAGUCCUCCGUUAAAUCCAGCUGCUUAACAGAUGGGCUGCGGAGGAUACUAUAAGACUAGGAGGCAGGAGAGGCAAGCGGUACUCAGUGGGUAGGGGUAAAAUCCGUUGAUCCAUUGAAGACCACCAGUGGCGAAGGCGGCUUGCCAGAAUGCGCUCGACGGUGAGGGAUGAAAGCUGGGGGAGCAACCGG
rnacentral:rRNA from 1 species